GACGAAGGUGGCGAGCGUUGUUCGGAAUCACUUGGCAUAAAGCGCACGUAGGCGGCGACGUAAGUUGGGUGUGAAAUCCCUCGGCCCAACCGAGGAACUGCGCCCAGUACUGCGUUGCUUGAGGAUCCAAGGGGUGCAUGGAAUUCCCGGUGGAGCGGUGAAAUGCGUUGAUAUCAGGAGGAACACCGGUGGCGAAGGCGGUUCUCUGGGCAUGUCCUGACGCUGAGGAGCGAAAGUGUGGGGAGCGAACAGG
rnacentral:rRNA from 1 species